rnacentral:misc_RNA from 1 species
UGGUUCUGGCAUCGAUGAAGAACGCAGCGAAAUGCGAUAAGUAAUGUGAAUUGCAGAAUUCAGUGAAUCAUCGAAUCUUUGAACGCACAUUGCGCCCUUUGGUAUUCCGAGGGGCAUGCCUGUUCGGGCGUCAUUACAACCAUCAAGCUCUGCUUGGUAUUGAGCAAUACUAGUAAUAGUCUGCUUUAAAUCUAGUGGCAGUGCCACCUGGCCCUGAGCGAAGUAAUAAUUAUCGCUAUAGGCUCCAGGGGGAUGUCUGCUAGGACAUCUAAUUUUCAGGUUGACCUCGGAUCAGGUAGGGAUACCCGCUGA